CCCGACCCCUCUCUACUCGGCCAGGGGAUGUCGCCUCGGUCCACGACGCCCUCCCGCGCCUCACCGCCGAGGCCCGAGGCCUCGCUGCUCACUGCGUGGACCGCAGCUCCCCGCCCAACACCCGCUUCAUGUGCUGGCUGAACGUCAGAGCGAGUGUGACCCACCGUCGCUGCCUGACGGUGUGGGUCCUUGGAACAACUGAAGUCAAUAAUUCGGAGCGCGGUUAAGGAAACAAGACCAGCAGCCCCGCAUUGUUCAAGGGUCAGCCCCGCAUUGUUUCCAUGUUUCAACUGUACGUGGAAAAUUCCAGAAAUUACCAAAAAAAAAAGUCAUAAAAGAAA